UAAGCCUGUGAAGGUGGCCUGUGAGGGUUGCUGGAGGUAUCAGAAGUGCGAAUGCUGACAUAAGUAACGAUAAAGCGGGUGAAAAGCCCGCUCGCCGGAAGACCAAGGGUUCCUGUCCAACGUUAAUCGGGGCAGGGUGAGUCGACCCCUAAGGCGAGGCCGAAAGGCGUAGUCGAUGGGAAACGGGUUAAUAUUCCCGUACUUGGUGUUACUGCGAAGGGGGGACGGAGAAGGCUAUGUUGGCCGGGCGACGGUUGUCCCGGUUUAAGCGUGUAGGUGUGUGUUCCAGGUAAAUCCGGUUCACUUUAACACUGAGGCGUGACGACGAGGCACUACGGUGCUGAAGCAACAAAUGCCCUGCUUCCAGGAAAAGCCUCUAAGCAUCAGGUAACAUCAAAUCGUACCCCAAACCGACACAGGUGGUCAGGUAGAGAAUACCAAGGCGCUUGAGAGAACUCGGGUGAAGGAACUAGGCAAAAUGGUGCCGUAACUUCGGGAGAAGGCACGCUGACAUGUAGGUGAAGUGAUUUACU
rnacentral:rRNA from 1 species